AAACUUUUGUAAGUUCUCUAGUACCCUCACCCCAAACUUUAUUUGUUGCUAAUUCCAAAGAGCAACCCCAAACUUAGUGGUGAGCAAUGCGCAUCAACCACUAAUUAGGUGCCUAACCUCCAAGAAAGUCAUUCCUUUUUUUCAUCAAAAAUUUCUUAAGGUUGUGCAAAAAUAACAUUUUCUUUUUCAGCUCAAAUUGGUUAAGC
rnacentral:lncRNA from 1 species